GAUGCCUAGGCGGUAGAAGGCGAUGAAGGACGUUGUAGCCUGCGAAAAGCUUCGGGGAGCUGGCAAACAAGCUUCGAUCCGGAGAUGUCCGAAUGGGGAAACCCACCGAGUAAUCGGUAUCAGUCACGAUAAGCCCCUUAAGUAACCAGAGGAAAAGAAAUCAACCGAGAUUCCCAAAGUAGUGGCGAGCGAAAUGGGAGCAGCCUUCAAUAUUUAGCAUUUGAAUUAACCGAAUUUUCUGGAAAGUUAAACCAUAGUAGGUGAUAGUCCUGUAGGUGAAAAUUUAAAUGUGGAACUAAGAUUGAGAAAAGUAGGGCGGGACACGUGGAAUCCUGUUCGAAGAUGGGGGGACCAUCCUCCAAGGCUAAAUACUCGUAAUCGACCGAUAGUGAACCAGUACCGUGAGGGAAAGGCGAAAAGAACCCCGGGAGGGGAGUGAAAUAGAUCCUGAAACCGCAUGCAUACAAACAGUGGGAGCCCGUAAGGGUGACUGCGUACCUUUUGUAUAAUGGGUCAGCGACUUACAUUCAGUAGCAAGCUUAACCGAAUAGGGGAAGCGCAGCGAAAGCGAGUCUUAAUAGGGCGAUUAGUUGCUGGGUGUAGACCCGAAACCAGAUGAUCUACUCAUGGCCAGGAUGAAGCGAGGGUAACACCUCGUGGAGGUCCGAACCCACUAGUGUUGAAAAACUAGGGGAUGAGCUGUGGGUAGGGGUGAAAGGCUAAACAAAUCUGGAAAUAGCUGGUUCUCUCCGAAAACUAUUUAGGUAGUGCCUCAUGUAUCACCUUUGGGGGUAGAGCACUGUUAUGGCUAGGGGGUCAUCGCGACUUACCAAACCAUUGCAAACUCCGAAUACCAAAGAGUGCGAGCAUGGGAGACAGACAUCGGGUGCUAACGUCCGGUGUCGAAAGGGAAACAACCCAGACCCUCAGCUAAGGUCCCAAAGAUAUAGUUAAGUGGUAAACGAAGUGGGAAGGCAUAAACAGUCAGGAGGUUGGCUUAGAAGCAGCCACCCUUUAAAGAAAGCGUAAUAGCUCACUGAUCGAGUCGUCCUGCGCGGAAGAUGUAACGGGGCUUAAACUAUACACCGAAGCUAGGGAUUUACAGUAAUGUAGAUGGUAGGAGAGCGUUCCGUAAGCCUGUGAAGGUGGCUUGUAAAGGCUGCUGGAGGUAUCGGAAGUGCGAAUGCUGACAUGAGUAGCGAUAAAGGGAGUGAAAGGCUCCCUCGCCGAAAACCCAAGGUUUCCUGUGCAACGCUAAUCGGCGCAGGGUGAGUCGGCCCCUAAGGCGAGGCAGAAAUGCGUAGCUGAUGGGAAACUGGUUAAUAUUCCAGUACCUUUGUUCAAUGCGAUGUGGGGACGGAGAAGGUUAGCUCAGCCGGGUGUUGGAUGUCCCGGUUCAAGCGUGUAGAUAUGUUGCUUAGGCAAAUCCGGGCGACUAAAUCGAGACGUGAUAACGAAACACUCUUCGGAGUGCCAAGUGAGUGAUACCAUGCUUCCAGGAAAAGCCACUAAGCUUCAGUUGAAUGAAGACCGUACCGUAAACCGACACAGGUGGGUAGGAUGAGAAUUCUAAGGCGCUUGAGAGAACUCAGGAGAAGGAACUCGGCAAAAUGACACCGUAACUUCGGGAUAAGGUGUGCCCUUGGUAUGUGUAGCGUUUCACACGCGAAGCAGAAAAGGGUUGCAAAAAAUAGGUGGCUGCGACUGUUUAAUAAAAACAUAGCACUCUGCAAACACGUAAGUGGACGUAUAGAGUGUGACGCCUGCCCGGUGCCGGAAGGUUAAAUGAUGGGGUGCAAGCUCUUGAUUGAAGCCCCGGUAAACGGCGGCCGUAACUAUAACGGUCCUAAGGUAGCGAAAUUCCUUGUCGGGUAAGUUCCG
rnacentral:rRNA from 1 species